CCUACGGGAGGCAGCAGUGGGGAAUAUUGGGCAAUGGGCGCAAGCCUGACCCAGCAACGCCGCGUGAAGGAAGAAGGCUUUCGGGUUGUAAACCUCUUUUGUCAGGGAAGAGUAGAAGACGGUACCUGACGAAUAAGCCACGGCUAACUACGUGCCAGCAGCCGCGGUAAUACGUAGGUGGCAAGCGUUGUCCGGAUUUACUGGGUGUAAAGGGCGUGUAGCCGGGUUGACAAGUCAGAUGUGAAAUCCUGCGGCUUAACCGGAGAACUGCAUUUGAAACUGUUGAUCUUGAGUACUGGAGAGGCAGGUGGAAUUCCUAGUGUAGCGGUGAAAUGCGUAGAUAUUAGGAGGAACACCAGUGGCGAAGGCGGUCUGCUGGACAGCAACUGACGGUGAGGCGCGAAAGCGUGGGGAGCAAACAGGAUUAGAUACCCGUGUAGUC
rnacentral:rRNA from 1 species